UGAACCGGUGAUAAGAAUGAAUCAGAAACCAGGGAUUAUGAAAAAUUUAGUUUUGUAUACCUGAGGUCCAUA
rnacentral:snoRNA from 14 species